UGGGGAAUAUUGCACAAUGGGCGAAAGCCUGAUGCAGCAACGCCGCGUGAGCGAUGAAGGCCUUCGGGUCGUAAAGCUCUGUCCUCAAGGAAGAUAAUGACGGUACUUGAGGAGGAAGCCCCGGCUAACUACGUGCCAGCAGCCGCGGUAAUACGUAGGGGGCUAGCGUUAUCCGGAAUUACUGGGCGGAAAGGGUGCGUAGGUGGUUUCUUAAGUCAGAGGUGAAAGGCUACGGCUCAACCCUAGUAAGCCUUUGAAACUGGGAAACGUGAGUGCAGGAGAGGAGGGUGGAAUUCCUAGUGGAGCGGUGAAAUGCGUAGAUAUUAGGAGGAACACCAGUUGCGAAGGCGGCUCUCUGGACUGUAACUGACACUGAGGCACGAAAGCGUGGGGAGCAAACA
rnacentral:rRNA from 1 species